rfam:Ciona savignyi cont_61769, whole genome shotgun sequence.
ACUUAUCACCAUUCCAGAUAGAAUAUACCCGAUCUCGUCUGAUCUCGGAAGUCAAGCAAUCUCGGGCUUGGUUAGUACUUGGAUGGGUGACCGCUUGGGAAUACCAAGUGUGAUAAGCA